UACGAAGGGGGCUAGCGUUGCUCGGAAUCACUGGGCGUAAAGCGCAUGUAGGCGGCAGCGCAAGUCGGGCGUGAAAUCCCACGGCUCAACCGUGGAAGUGCACUCGAAACUGCGCAGCUAGAGUCCUGGAGAGGAAGGUGGAAUGCUUGGUGUAGAGGUGAAAUUCGUAGAUAUCAAGCGGAACACCGGUGGCGAAGGCGGCCUUCUGGACAGUGACUGACGCUGAGAUGCGAAAGCGUGGGGAGCAAACAGG
rnacentral:rRNA from 1 species